rnacentral:rRNA from 1 species
UACGUAGGGGGCAAGCGUUGUUCGGAAUUACUGGGCGUAAAGGGCGCGUAGGCGGCUCGGCAAGUCGGGAGUGAAAGGCCUGGGCUCAACCGAGGAACUGCUUUCGAGACUGCCGAGCUAGAGUGCGGAAGGGGCAACUGGAAUUCCCAGUGUAGCGGUGAAAUGCGUAGAUAUUGGGAAGAACACCUGAGGCGAAGGCGGGUUGCUGGGCCGACACUGACGCUGAGGCGCGAAAGCGUGGGGAGCGAACAGG